ACCAAAAACUUUCCAAUUUUUGAGAGUUGGAGCACAUGCAAAAGGUUUACUGGGAAUGAUAAUGCACAGUCUUCUGUUUAGAAAGAAGAUUUAAAAGAAACCUAGAGAUGUUCUGGGGGCAAGGGUCAUCUACCUUAACAUUUCACCAGAUAAACAAGGUUCCAAAGGACUACAACCAAAAUGACUGACCACUGCUCCCAGUGAUAUGGCAGACUCCCUUUCAACUGUGGCAACUAAGCCAGUGCAAGCUUGUCACUGACUCUGAGCAUCUCUGGAUCAAGCAAAAGUUUAUAUAUACACUGUACUGAAGAAUUGCU
rnacentral:lncRNA from 1 species